ACAUAGGGCAGUCUGUCUUUAAGUAGAGAUAACUUACUCUAAAAUGAAUUCUAGGUAGUUUUCUCUUAAUAACAUAUAUCUUGC
rnacentral:pre_miRNA from 1 species